rnacentral:rRNA from 1 species
AUACGUAGGGUGCAAGCGUUAAUCGGAAUUACUGGGCGUAAAGCGUGCGCAGGCGGUUUUGUAAGACAGAGGUGAAAUCCCCGGGCUCAACCUGGGAACUGCCUUUGUGACUGCAAGGCUAGAGGACGGCAGAGGGGGAUGGAAUUUCCCGCGUAGCAGUGAAAUGCGUAGAUAUGCGGAGGAACCCCGAUGGCGAAGGCAAUCCCCUGGGCCUGUACUGACGCUCAUGCACGAAAGCGUGGGGAGCAAACAGGAUUAGAUACCCUGGUAGUCCACGCCCUAAACGAUGUCAACUGGUUGUUGGGUCUUCAUUGACUCAGUAACGAAGCUAACGCGUGAAGUUGACCGCCUGGGGAGUACGGCCGCAAGGUUGAAACUCAAAUGAAUUGACGGGG